rnacentral:rRNA from 1 species
CACCAGACUCCUACGGGAGGCAGCAGUGAGGAAUAUUGGUCAAUGGGCUUACGCCUGAACCAGCCAAGUCGCGUGAGGGAAGACUGCCCUAUGGGUUGUAAACCUCUUUUGUCAGGGAGCAAUUGGCGCUACGUGUAGCGUUAUCGAGAGUACCUGAAGAAAAAGCAUCGGCUAACUCCGUGCCAGCAGCCGCGGUAAUACGGAGGAUGCGAGCGUUAUCCGGAUUUAUUGGGUUUAAAGGGUGCGUAGGCGGACGCUUAAGUCAGCGGUAAAAUUGCGGGGCUAAACCUCGUCGAGCCGUUGAAACUGGCAGUAUCGAGUUGGAGAGAAGUAUGCGGAAUGCGCGGUGUAGCGGUGAAAUGCAUAGAUAUCGCGCAGAACUCCGAUUGCGAAGGCAGCAUGCCGGCUCCACACUGACGCUGAGGCACGAAAGCGUGGGUAUCGAACAGGAUUAGAUACCCCUGUAA